UUUCCGUAGGUGAACCUGCGGAAGGAUCAUUCAUAAUAAAGCGUUUUAUGGCCCUUUUUAAAAAUCCAUAUCCACCUUGUGUGCAAUGUUAGAUCUCGUGAAUCUUGGCGAGAUUUUUAUACAUCAACUCAUUCUUUACCUAAUUUGUCUGAAAAAUAUUAUGAAUACUUAAUUCAAAAUACAACUUUCAACAACGGAUCUCUUGGCUCUCGCAUGAUGAAGAACGCAGC
rnacentral:misc_RNA from 1 species